GCGNUGCCUAUACAUGCAAGUCGAGCGGACAGAUGGGAGCUUGCUCCCUGAUGUCAGCGGCGGACGGGUGAGUAACACGUGGGUAACCUGCCUGUAAGACUGGGAUAACUCCGGGAAACCGGGGCUAAUACCGGAUGCUUGAUUGAACCGCAUGGUUCAAUUAUAAAAGGUGGCUUUUAGCUACCACUUACAGAUGGACCCGCGGCGCAUUAGCUAGUUGGUGAGGUAACGGCUCACCAAGGCAACGAUGCGUAGCCGACCUGAGAGGGUGAUCGGCCACACUGGGACUGAAACACGGCCCAAACUCCUACGGGAGGCAGCAGUAGGGAAUCUUCCGCAAUGGACGAAAGUCUGACGGAGCAACGCCGCGUGAGUGAUGAAGGUUUUCGGAUCGUAAAACUCUGUUGUUAGGGAAGAACAAGUACCGUUCGAAUAGGGCGGUACCUUGACGGUACCUAACCAGAAAGCCACGGCUAACUACGUGCCACCACCCGCGGUAAUACGUAGGUGGCAAGCGUUGUCCGGAAUUAUUGGGCGUAAAGCGCGCGCAGGCGGUUUCUUAAGUCUGAUGUGAAAGCCCCCGGCUCAACCGGGGAGGGUCAUUGGAAACUGGGGAACUUGAGUGCAAAAAAGGAGAGUGGAAUUCCACGUGUAGCGGUGAAAUGCGUAGAGAUGUGGAGGAACACCAGUGGCGAAGGCGACUCUCUGGUCUGUAACUGACGCUGAGGCGCGAAAGCGUGGGGAGCGAACAGGAUUAGAUACCCUGGUAGUCCACGCCGUAAACGAUGAGUGCUAAGUGUUAGAGGGUUUCCGCCCUUUAGUGCUGCAGCAAACGCAUUAAGCACUCCGCCUGGGGAGUACGGUCGCAAGACUGAAACUCAAAGGAAUUGACGGGGGCCC
rnacentral:rRNA from 1 species